GAACAGCCUGUUCCAUUCUUGAGCAAUACACAGAGCCCAGGGAUGUGGUGCAAUACUACAGAGGAGAAAUUAAGUAAAAAUCUACUCCCAAAACAAAGGAAGUCAAGUAAGGAAAAGAUGAGGAAUUUAGGAAACUGAGGAUCCAAACCAGAAGACAGGCGGUAAAGCUUCCCAGGAUGAAGGUGAAGAGUCAUCCCAGAAAACACUAUGAAGUGAGCCUGUGGAUCUACCCAUUCAGAAGAGGCAUUUCUAAGGACAAAAAGACUGAGGCUGAGAGAAUAUCCAAUAUGCAGCUGUUCUCUUAGUUACAUUGGCAGAUUGUGUGUUGUCAAUGUUGACUAUUGCUUAGGGAACCAGAGUAUAUCAGUGCAUAGCC